UUACAUCCACAGAGGCAACACCUUGAUCACAAAGGAGGUUUUCCCAGGGUGAGGCUUAUCCAUGGCACUGUGGGUGUGCUGAUCCCUGCAAUUUCCCCAAAUGCGGUAAAUGACUGCAUAAUUUGUGGUAGCAGAUUGCAGGCACUGAGACGUGACCUGC